GCCUGGGUGGCUCAGUCAGUUGAGCAUCUGACUUCGGCUCAGGUCAUGAUCUCACAGUUUGUGAGUUCGAGCCCCGCAUCUGGCU
rnacentral:tRNA from 1 species